rnacentral:lncRNA from 1 species
AAAUAGGUUCAAAUGGCAAAGAUGGCGCACAAGGACCACAGGGACUUGUAGGAUUAAAUGGUGCACCAGGUAAAGAUGGUGCUCCUGGAAUUCAAGG